GGGGCCAUCCGGAUUGGUUGGCACUCCGCCAGCGGGCUGUCAAUCAUCGAGUGUAAACAAGGUGCUGAUUGGCUGUUGUCCAGUCCGCACUGGGCCUCCUGAAAAAAGCAAUUACUGGCUCCGCGGUUUCAAGGCGGCCCAUGGCCGCUUGAUGAAAGGAGAUAAGCCGGGGACCGUUUCCAGGAUCCCCGCGGGCCGACUCAGGCUGCUCGGGAGCCGAGGUGCAGCGGAGAGCCCGGGAUCAAAGGAAUCUGAAGAGAAAGGGGAGGCGGGCGGACGGCCGGGCUGGCCUUGCCCCCCGCGGGCCGCGCUGACCUGGGGUGGGGGCCGCGGGCGGGGACUUCGGGAUCUCCCGCCCGCCGGGGACCGGGCCUCCGCUGGCGCCUGCUUCGGGUGGUGCGGCCGGGAGGAGCUCCAGGCCCGGACAAUUGAAUUAGGCCCCCGAGCGCGGACUCCAAGGCUCCAAAGGAGGGACGCGGACACUGGGUCGUGGUGGCACCGAGAGGCCCAGAAGGCGAUCACUGGCCCGGCCUUGCGCAGGGAGAACGGAGCUGCACAGAGUCGGCGCGCGCAUACUCGGCCCGCUUCCCACGCACGCGGAUGAGAAGCUGCCCGGUUCGGGAGAAAUCGCUCUCGGGAAGGGUGGCAGGAGACCGGCGGGUCCGAGCCUUCGGGAAGGGGAGGUCACAGGUUAGACCAGAGCCAGCCCCGAGCGCGCGCACCCACCGGUGUCCCUGGCUCGGUGCAGGGCUCCGCUCGCCAACUGCACGUUUUCUGCGCUCAUUUGCAAUCCGUGUUCCUCAUUAUUUUCUUCCUUUGAUCUUGUUUUCCGAUCCAGAAAUCUUUUGUGAUUAUUAAAGUCCUAUUUAGAGCUUUUUAAGAGUAUAUAAAAGGAAAAAAAUAUACACGAGAAAAAAAUAAUUGGAUCCAACAAAGACAACAGCUUGGCGACCAGGGUUGCCCUGGGAGCUGCUGCGGGCGCGACGCAGGA
rnacentral:lncRNA from 1 species